AGGUGGGAACGUUAUCCCUAGACUACGGAGGCCGCUAAGUCAUUCAAGAAACUUGCUAGAAUUCCCUGAGUCUAGGGUCUCAGAAGAUGGGACUUCCAGCAGUUCCCAUUAAGGUGAUGCAGCCAAGUUCAUAUCUGAUAUGGCUCAACUUCUGAGGUUCAACAAUCUGCUGGUGGAUGACCAUGAUUAUGAGCCACCAAUCAAGCGUUCUCAUAUAGAAGAGACACCAGAGGAUAUCACGUCAUCACUGCUGUAUGCAGGUAAAAACUACAUUAUACCACCACCAGAUGAAAUCUGGCCACCUCCAGAACCUGAAGAUGGUCAUAUCAGCAACAUGCUUGAGAAGCAUCUGGGAGAGCAGAUGAAGGUUAAUAUUUCAGAUUCUGGUGGAACAAGAACAGUGGUGCUUUAGGUACCUAAAGAACAGUUAAUAUGUGUGUCCAAAGCAAGGCAUUUUAUUUCAGUGAGGAAACUGUUACCAACUUAAAAAAAUGUUUUCUUGUUGAAUUCUGGUGAUUGUAGUUGUUGCAGUUUGCAAGUGACCAUUAAGAUGACAAUUCAUGAUAACUUUAAACAAGUUAUAUAUAAACUACUGCACACAGUAUAGUUAUCAUCUCCCCGAUGUUCUUGUGUACAUGAACUAUAUUGUAUAUACCAUGUGUAGUAUAUAGAUAUUUCAUACUAUUAAAAUCAGUUUUGCCUGUUAUUUUUAUGUGAUUUUCUUUGAGCUUAAUAAUAAUGGCUUUUCCUGCAAUCCUUUGUGCAUCCUUGUUUAAUAAACAGUGAGCUUUGCAUGAUAUAUCUUAAACACUUAAUUCUUAUGUAUCAAAACUGAGAUCAAAGACAGUCUGGAACUGACAUCCAAUGAAUUCAUCAGAAUUAUUUGUAUUAACAUUUUAGUGUUAAUUUCUUUUUAUUUUGGAAACAGAAUAGUUUACAUGUAUAUUCCUAUGGGCCUUCUCACUAUAAAAGCAAUUCUCACAAUGCACACACAAGGGGGAAGAAUUGAUGACAGUCAAUAUGGCAACUGGCAACACUGGGCUUGGGAAAAAGAAAUAAUCAUGUAUCUAAUUAAAGCAUGACUAAAAUAUUGGACCUCUCUUUCUUCAGCAGUGAUCUAGGUCUGAUUGUAGAACUGAAAAACGUUUAUAUUCCCAGAGAAGUUAACACUAAGUAAGAACACAAUUUGCUCAUUAAAUAUGUAGAUUAUACAUUGUUUUUUUAAAUAAUAAAUGUCACACACUUCUGGUGCCAUUCACAAUACUUAAUAAUAAAAAUUGACUCCAUUCUGUCUUGGCUCAGGUUGAUUACUAAGACAAGACAGUGAAUGGACUAAUUAAACAUCACAUUUGACUUCAUCACUAAACUUUUACAGUGUAUUUUGCAAAUCACUGUGAAGUCAUAUUAACACUUUUUAACACACCGAUGCGACUUCUGUCAUGAUUAACAAUAAGAAAUAAUCCUGUCUUGGAUAGAGAGACCAUAUUAACAAAAUUGGCCAGGCAUUACUUUGGCUCUUAAAAGUUUAGUAGCAUUCCUUAUAUUUUAUUUCACUUAAGCUGUUUGAAGAUAUUUUUAUUAACAAAUAAUAUAUUAAGAUUCUUUCUCCCUUUGGCAACUGCAACAAGUUACAUACUCAAGUCUAAAAAUGAAGAAGAAACAGAUGUAUGAACUGUUGCAGACUCUGAAGAUGCAUUAAGUAAAUUCAUCGCCUUGGCUGCCACAAUUCUUGGAAUAUAAAGCCCACUGCAUUCAUAGGGAUGACUAUAUACAAAGUUGGAGGCUAGUUCAACCCCACUAGAACAACUGUUAUGUAUCUUUUUUAUCAUAGUGAUUUUUGUCCAUUCACACAGGAAAACUGCCAUAAAUAUAGUUUCACUUCUGGUCACAUGUAACCAGAUGUUAUAUAAAACACGUAGAGAAGAUAAAAUUUGGGAAAGUUUACAAACCAAUAUCCUGAUCAUGUGACAGGAGUACACUGCACACCUCCCCCAUGAAAUGUGAAAUGGUAAUUCAACAGUUACGAGCUCCUGUUUGUAUUUCUUAAGCAAAUCCAAGCAGUUUUUGAUUUCCUAGUAUCUCAUUUUUACAGAACAUUAUGUUGGCUGGCUGACUGCAGUAACAAAUCUCUUCUCUUAAAAACAUUGUUACCAAUACAUUUCCCUUUGAAAUUAGUGCCAUAAAGUUCACACAUACAUUCACAGAUUUCAAAUUCCAGGGCAAACAUCUGAAGUUGUAUCAGCUUAUCACUAGUUUCAUAGACAUUUCACAUUACCUUCCUCUGCCUGAUGGUGCUGCAAGAUGCUAAAAAUGGAACAAUAUGACACCUUUUGACAGCACAGUUACUAUGAACACAGUGCUAACCACAAAAAAAAAAUGUUGUACUUUUACUUUAAAAAUCUACUUUGCAGCUCAAAAUUUGCAGAUUAUUAACAAUGUGGAGAAAGCCAUGGAUAAUUAAAUCAUCUACAUUACUGUGGCUUCACAAGAUGUGUAGAUGUACAUAAAAUCACAGAGUACUAUCUUCUGGGACACGGGGGUGUCUGUAGUGUAGUCUGGUAGUUUAUCGACAUUUCUGAGAGACAUACAGCAUCCACCUUCAGAGCUGAAAAGUAAGCUAAACAAGCUGCAAGGAGUGCACAACUAUGCCCAUUGCUUGGCUUACUCUCUGACCUAGGCAGUAAGUUCCUCCAAAAUAUCAGCUAACUUCUACCAGCAUCAUAGUUCCUGCUGUGUGAACCUCAAAUCUAACAUACAUGAAACCAGUUUGUAAUUGGAGGGUGAAACAUAUGCUACAAAUUAUGGCUCAAGUAACUGUUACAAGAAAAUAACAGUAUCCUUUAAUAUGCUUAACAUGACUAAAAUAGGUUGCUCACAGUACCUCCACAAUUAUCAUGUAAGUGGUUGUUGCAAAACAUUUUACCAUAAACAACAGAAAGGAAUGCUCACAAAGUCCAUAAAACUUCUCCCUGGAAUGUGUAAACACAUGUUACUGUAACUGUAUUCCUCUGAAAUUAAAUCUGAUAACAGUUCAUCAAUAAUAAUAUAAUGGGG